CCUACGGGAGGCAGCAGUGGGNAAUAUUGGNCAAUGGGCGCAAGCCUGAUCCAGCCGANGAGGCCUUCGGAUUGUAAAGCUCUUUUGGCGGGGACGAUAAUGACGGUACCCGCAGAAUAAGCCCCGGCUAACUUCGUGCCAGCAGCCGCGGUAAU
rnacentral:rRNA from 1 species